rnacentral:rRNA from 1 species
AACGAACGCUGGCAGCAUGCCUAACACAUGCAAGUCGAACGAGACCUCCGGGCCUAGUUGCGCACGUGUGCGUAACGCGUGGGAAGCUGCCCUUGGGUUCGGUAUCACUGAUUGUAACGUCUGUUCAUACCGGAUGGUGACGUAAGUCCAAAGAUUUAUUGCUCCGGGAUGAGCCCGCGUAGGAUUGGCCAGUUGGUGGGGUAAAGGCCUACCAUGGCGAUGAUCCUUAGCUGGUCUGAGAGGAUGAUACGCCACGCUGGGACUGAGACACGGCCCAGACUCCUACGGGAGGGAGCAGUGGGGUGUAUUGGAGGAUGGGCGAAGGCGUGAUCCAGCAAUGCCGGGUAAGUGAUGAAGGCCGUAGGAUUGUAAAGCUGUUUUACCCGGGGUGUUAGUGACGGUACCGGGAGAAUAAGCCCCGGCUAACUACGUG